rnacentral:rRNA from 1 species
AUUGAACGCUGGCGGCAGGCCUAACACAUGCAAGUCGAACGGUAGCACAGAGAGCUUGCUCUCGGGUGACGAGUGGCGGACGGGUGAGUAACGUCUGGGAAACUGCCCGAUGGAGGGGGAUAACUACUGGAAACGGUAGCUAAUACCGCAUAACGUCGCAAGACCAAAGUGGGGGACCUUCGGGCCUCACACCAUCGGAUGUGCCCAGAUGGGAUUAGCUAGUAGGUGGGGUAAUGGCUCACCUAGGCGACGAUCCCUAGCUGGUCUGAGAGGAUGACCAGCCACACUGGAACUGAGACACGGUCCAGACUCCUACGGGAGGCAGCAGUGGGGAAUAUUGCACAAUGGGCGCAAGCCUGAUGCAGCCAUGCCGCGUGUAUGAAGAAGGCCUUCGGGUUGUAAAGUACUUUCAGCGGGGAGGAAGGCGGUGAAGUUAAUAACUUCACCGAUUGACGUUACCCGCAGAAGGAGCACUGGCUAACUCCGUGCCAGCAGCCGCAGUAA